AUAAUGAUAUCAUUGCCAUGUGUUUCGCCAGCAUUGCAGAAAUGUCUUAAACAUGAGAGAUGGAGUACUUAUCAUGGGUACAUACAAAUCACCUGAAGUUGUGAGUGAAUAGAGAUCUCAGAUUGAAUCACCUGUUUACAGUAAAGAGAGAUCUGAAUUUGAUUUUGGAACUUUGUUUCUGUAAAAAUCAAACUUGAAGUUUAUGAGUGAAGAGAAAUCUCUGAUU